rnacentral:rRNA from 1 species
GGUGGGGAUGACGUCAAAUCAUCAUGCCCCUUAUGAUUUGGGCUACACACGUGCUACAAUGGACAAUACAAAGGGCAGCUAAACCGCGAGGUCAUGCAAAUCCCAUAAAGUUGUUCUCAGUUCGGAUUGUAGUCUGCAACUCGACUACAUGAAGCUGGAAUCGCUAGUAAUCGUAGAUCAGCAUGCUACGGUGAAUACGUUCCCGGGUCUUGUACACACCGCCCGUCACACCACGAGAGUUUGUAACACCCGAAGCCGGUGGAGUAACCAUUUAUGGAGCUAGCCGUCGAAGGGGUGGGGAAC